AUACGUAGGGGACGAGCGUUGUCCGGAAUUACUGGGCGUAAAGGGCGCGCAGGCGGAUAUUUAAGUCAGCUGUAAAAGGCAUGAGCUCAACUCAUGUAUGCGGUUGAAACUGGGUAUCUAGAGUGCUGGAGAGGUAGGCGGAAUUCCCGGUGUUGCGGUGAAAUGCGUAGAUAUCGGGAAGAACACCAGUGGCGAAGGCGGCUUACUGGCCAGCAACUGACGCUGAGGCGCGAAAGCCAGGGGAGCGAACGGGAUUAGAUACCCCGGUAGUCCUGGCCGUAAACGAUGAAUGCUAGGUGUGGGUGUCGAGAGGCAUCCGUGCCGGAGUUAACGCGAUAAGCAUUCCGCCUGGGGAGUACGAUCGCAAGAUUGAAACUCAAAUGAAUUGACGGGG
rnacentral:rRNA from 1 species